UGGGUUUGACAUAUAGGUAGUAGUGAACUGAAAAGGGAACGACCUUCGGGAGCCUAUACAGGUGCUGCAUGGCUGUCGUCAGCUCGUGCCGUGAGGUGUUCGGUUAAGUCCGCAAACGAGCGCAACCCCCGGUGCUAGUUACACGUGUCUAGCGCGACUGCCCGUGAGAAACGGGAGGAAGGUGGGGAUGACGUCAAGUCAGCAUGGCCUUUAUAUCCAGGGCUACACACACGCUACAAUGGGG
rnacentral:rRNA from 1 species